AAGUCGUAACAAGGUCUCCGUAGGGUGAGUUCCUACCGACUUCCAACUACAUACUGAAUCGAAUGCUAACAGAUUUUCUAGUGAACCCUGCGGUAGGGAUCAUUACUGAGUGAGGGAUCUCUGACCCGACCUCCAACCCUUUGUGAUUUAAACCUUCUGUUGCCUCGGGGGCGACCCGGACCUCAGCGUCUCGGGGCGCCCCGACGGACCAUUUUCCAAAACACCGCAUCUUUGCGGUCGGAUUCUGAAUAAAGCAAAUGAUUAAAACUUUCAACAACGGAUCUCUUGGUUCUGGCAUCGAUGAAGAACGACAGCGAAAUGCGAUAAGUAAUGUGAAUUGCAGAAUGCAGUGAAUCAUCGAGUUUACUUGAACGCACCACUGCGCCCCUUGGUAUUCCUGGGGGGUCAUGCCCGUUCGAGCGUCAUUUCACCAAUCAAGCCUGGCUUGGUAUUGGGCACCGGGGGCGACCCGGGCCUCAAAGUCGCCGGCUGGUAAGCUCUGAUCUCAGCGUCGUGAUCAAUCAAAUUCGCUUUGCAGAGGAGUGAAGGCCGUGCGGUUAAGAAUUAUCUAAAGGCUUGAGCCUCGAUCGGGUCAGGAAUACACGCUGAACUUAA
rnacentral:rRNA from 1 species